AUUGAACGCUGGCGGCAUGCUUUACACAUGCAAGUCGAACGGUAACAGGGAGCUUGCUCCGCUGACGAGUGGCGAACGGGUGAGUAAUGCGUCGGAACGUGCCGAGUAGUGGGGGAUAACGCAGCGAAAGUUGUGCUAAUACCGCAUACGUACUGAGGUAGAAAGUGGGGGACCUUCGGGCCUCACGCUAUUCGAGCGGCCGACGGCUGAUUAGCUAGUUGGUGAGGUAAAGGCUCACCAAGGCGACGAUCAGUAGCGGGUCUGAGAGGAUGAUCCGCCACACUGGGACUGAGACACGGCCCAGACUCCUACGGGAGGCAGCAGUGGGGAAUUUUGGACAAUGGGCGCAAGCCUGAUCCAGCCAUGCCGCGUGUCUGAAGAAGGCCUUCGGGUUGUAAAGGACUUUUGUCCGGGAGCAAAUGCUGGUGGCUAACAUCCACCGGAGCUGAGAGUACCGGAAGAAUAAGCACCGGCUAACUACGUGCCAGCCGCCGCGGUAAGAC
rnacentral:rRNA from 1 species